rnacentral:rRNA from 1 species
CCCUUAGAUGUUCUGGGCCGCACGCGCGCUACACUGAUACGUUCAGCAAGUUUAGAACCUUGACUGAGAGGUCUGGGUAAUCUUUUGAAUGCGUAUCGUGUUAGGGAUAGAUUAUUGCAAUUAUUAAUCUUGAACGAGGAAUUCCUAGUAAACGCAAGUCAUCAGCUUGCAUUGAUUACGUCCCUGCCCUUUGUACACACCGCCCGUCGCACCAAUUGAUUGGAUGACUCGAUGAAAAAUCAGGACUGAGAUUUCUUUUGCUUCAUUGCAGAGGAAGUUUUGGGAAUCUUUUUAAAUCUCGUUAUCUAGAGAUUGGUGAAGUCGUAACA